AUCAGCUGCUCCGCGGUGUAAACGAUGCGCGCUCUGGCCCCGACGCACAUCGUAGCUUUAAAACAGCGUUUGUACUGCGCCACACUUAGAAAAACUAUAUAAAAGCUGUGUACAGGUUGUGUACACUAAUGCUACUAACAAAACACUAGAAAGAUAAACUUGAGUAGGUGAAGAAAGUGAUAAAUAGAAGUAAGAGGACAGGAGCUGUUGUGACCAGCAGCCAGCUCGACCGGCGCCGGAGAAACAAAGAAGAAGAAGAAGAAGAAAAAAAAAACAAAGAAAUAUAGUACUGUAGCUUUUAAGAUGAUCACAUUUUAACCCAAACUAUCGUAUGAAAUUUAACAACUUUAAAAGUCACGUGAAUUUUAAAACAAACUUAUUCUAUGGGCACGUAGCCUAUGGAAAUCAAGGAGGUUCGGUUAUUUCGACAAUUUUAUUGAUUUUCGGAACUAGAGACUUGAUGUCGUGUCCGUGUUUUCUUUUGCAUGUUUUUAACAUCGCAAUGUCCAACGCACCUUGAAUACCGCAGCGGCAGAAGGAUUCGGCCUCAUUGAACAGGUUGAAUCCGCUCCUGAACCGUAGCGUCCAACUCGCAGACAGGCCGGUAAAGUAGCUUGGUCUAUUGGCCAGUCUCUGCACCACCGGAGUCUUUUACUAGUUUGUUAACAUUUUGAACUCGCGUUUCUUAUUUUCGCUCUAAACACGAUAAUUACUGUAUGUCUGGCAACGCUGAUAGAUGCUGGCAAGCAGAGGCAGAGAAGCAUCUCCUACAACUGCAGGGUUUCCUUUGGUUAAACAAAUUCUGUCUCUGCUCUUUAAGUUUGUUUAGGUUUGUUCCGUGUAAUUCUAAUUUAAACUAUUGGUUGAUUUACUUUUUUUGUUUCAGGUGCCCCAACCAACCUUCUUAUCAAGCCUCUCUUCCACCGCUACCACCUCUUAGCAAGCCUCUGGUGGGACGGGUUCAUCCUCUGUGCUGAGACUUAAUUAUGAUAUGCCACAGCAACGUCAGCCCCAAGUAUUGGCUGAGGUGGAGUCAACUUUAGCAGCAGUGAUGCAGCAUCAUAAUGCACAAUCUAACCUAAGCCAUGCAGAUGUUGGAUUAUUUGUUGCACAUGCAGCCCAUCUCCAGUCAGUCUGUGAAGAUGUCAUGGUCAGUUCUUUACAGGUCUGUGUGGUAGUUGGUUGUUUAGGCUAUAGACUUGUUCACAUUUGUGUCACGGUGGACAUGAGUGAAAGGUCCCAAAAGACUCAACGCUGAUAAUAUUUCAUCUUCUUCUAUAUUUGCAUAAAUCAAAUUUAAACCUUGUUUUCUCACCCAAUGGUUGGUGUCAGCGCAACAGAGCUAAGAUUUGACAUUUACUUGGUUUAUUCUAGUUCAUAAACUCUGAAAACAUUUAAAAAUCACACUCCUGCUGUGCACCUGUUUUUGUGGGCAGUACCAAGAUCAUAAGGCGCAUAAACCAACCUCGUGUUAAGCCAACACCUCCGUCUCCUGCAGAGGAGCUCCGCAAUGGGGAAAUCCACAGGUCAGCGAGAAAGCAAAAGGUCAGUCCCAGCCAUCAUGUUGUGAAGACUUACUUUGGAACAUUUAAGAUGCUGCGUGUGUCCUUUCUCUUCUUCCAGAGACUUCGCCCUACAGAACCUUGCAGCGCAGAUGAAGGCACUCCCUAAAGUUGUGGGCCGUGAGCUGCCACCUACUCGGGAUUUGCUGGUGAUAGAAGGGACGUGGAUCUACUCUGCAGCUUGCAUUAUUACACGCCAAGUGUGUGUUUCACUGUUUGAUAAUGGAAGGGAACAAACUCAAUACUUGGUGGAGAAAACAUUGGCUGCAAUACAUCUGAAUCUGAACUGUGAUAAAGAAAAAUAACGUGACAGCGGAUGAAGUUUGUUCCUGAGAACAGGAAAAAAAAAAAAAACAGUUGUGAUUCUGAUGUUGGUAAUAACAUGAGAUGUAUUCAUUAGGUAAUACUACAGAAAAUGUCUUAUUACCAAUAUGUUUCUUCAUAGUGUGAAUUUGAGGUUUGACUUGGAGUUUUGACAUGCUGCAUUUUUCACGCAGUCACUUUGGUUUUGACAUUAAUUUUGUCGAUUUGAUUCUGCUUCAAACAAAAGCUCUAAGAUUUGACCAAGAAUGGGUUUAGGUUUAUUGAAGACAUUUACACAGACACGUCUACUGAAGAAGUGGCAUAACUGUACUGUGGCUAAAUGUACAAUAGUACCAGUAGUUCCACUCCUCUAUUGUAGCUUUGACUUGUCUG
rnacentral:lncRNA from 1 species